rnacentral:rRNA from 1 species
AUACGGAGGGUGCGAGCGUUAUCCGGGUUUAUUAGGUUUAAAGGGUGUGUAGGCGGGAGCCUAAGUCAGUGGUGAAAUCUCACAGCUUAACUGUGAAACUGCCAUUGAAACUGGGUUUCUUGAGUAUAGUUGAGGUAGGCGGAAUGUGUAAUGUAGCGGUGAAAUGCAUAGAUAUUACACAGAACACCGAUUGCGAAGGCAGCUUACUAAGCUAUUACUGACGCUGAUGCACGAAAGCGUGGGUAGCGAACAGGAUUAGAAACCCGGGUAGUCC